rfam:Bacteroides sp. CAG:545 genomic scaffold, scf187
UAAACCCGGUUAAUCACGAAGACCUAAGUUCCACUUGGGUGGCUAUUAGUGAUUGAUGGGGUUUA